GAGUGCUGAUGGAUUACACACCUCUG
rnacentral:piRNA from 1 species